rnacentral:rRNA from 1 species
AUUGAACGCUGGCGGCAGGCCUAACACAUGCAAGUCGAGCGAGCGGCGGACGGGUGAGUAAUGUCUGGGAAACUGCCUGAUGGAGGGGGAUAACUAUUGGAAACGGUAUCUAAUACCCCAUAUCAUCAGAUGUGCCAAGAUUGGAUUAGCUAGUAGUUGGGGUAAUGGGUAACCUAGGCGACGAACCCUAGCUGGUCUGAGAGGAUGACCAGCCACACUGGAACUGAGACACGGUCCAGACUCCUACGGGAGGCAGCAGUGGGGAAUAUUGCACAAGGGGCGCAAGCCUGAUGCAGCCAUGCCGCGUGUGUGAAGAAGGCCUUCGGGUUGUAAAGCACUUUCAGCGGGGAGGCGUUACCCGCAGAAGAAGCACCGGCUAACUCCGUGCCAGCAGCCGCGGUAAUUC